UCCCUCUCAGGGUUGUACCUAGAGAGUUUCCCGUACUCUACUAGAUUCGAUUAUGGGAAGGAGAGUCAAGCAGAGGCAUAUCCAUUCCAUUCCUAGCUUGGACAGUGGUUAGCGAGAGGAAGGUAAUCUGCUACGAGU